rnacentral:rRNA from 1 species
CUACGAGCGGCAGCAGUGAGGAAUAUUGCACAAUGGGGGGAACCCUGAUGCAGCAACGCCGCGUGGAGGAUGACGCAUUUCGGUGUGUAAACUCCUUUUAUAUGUCAAGAAAAUGACGGUGGCAUAUGAAUAAGCACCGGCUAACUCCGUGCCAGCAGCCGCGGUAAUACGGAGGGUGCAAGCGUUACUCGGAAUCACUGGGCGUAAAGGACGCGUAGGCGGGUUGGAAAGUCAGGUGUGAAAUCCUACAGCUUAACUGUAGAACUGCACUUGAAACUUCUAAUCUAGAGUAUGGGAGGGGGAGAUGGAAUUAGUGGUGUAGGGGUAAAAUCCGUAGAUAUCACUGGGAAUACCUAAAGCGAAGGCGAUCUCCUGGAACAUUACUGACGCUAAGGCGUGAAAGCGUGGGGAGCAAACAGGAUUAGAUACCCGCGUAGUC